UUCUCACUAAAUUAUUGUGAGUACCACCUGCUCAAUGAUUUAUUAAAUAGCCGCGGAAAUAUAACUGUGCUAAGGUAGCAUAAUCAUUAGUCCCUUAAUUAGGGACUAGUAUGAAAGGUAGAACAUUUCAAUUUCUAUCUAAUUUAAUUAAAAAUUUAACUUGAAUUAAGAAUUAAAAUGUUCUUAUUAUAAAAAUAGACGACAAGACCCUUUUGAACUUUACUAUUGUUUAGCUGGGGCAGCUAAAAAAUAAUAAUCUUUUUUUUUAAACUUAACUAGAAGACCCAAUAAAAUUGAUUUUUCGAACAAGUUACCAUAGGGAUAACAGCGUAAUAUCUUUUUAAAGUUCUUAUUAAAAAAGAAGAUUGCGACCUCGAUGUUGAAUUAAUGUUCCUUAAAUAGUGCAGUAACUUUAAAAGUAGGUCUGUUCGACCUAUAAAACAUUACA
rnacentral:rRNA from 1 species